GGAAGAUCGAUCAAGAAAUUGAAAACACAGGUUAAGACACAGGCAUAACUCAAUGAAGAUAUCAGAUGAUUUUACACUUAUAUGUAGUCAGUCUUCUUUUUCAUAUGUAAUUUGGGCGCGGCGCAGAGGAGAUCAGAGAGAGAGAGAGAGAGAAAUGGCGACUAGUCGUCGCCGUAGGGGUAACAGAAGAAUUAUUGGGAUUUUGUGCAAUGCGGCCCUUUG
rnacentral:lncRNA from 1 species